rnacentral:rRNA from 1 species
UGAGUAACCUGCCCUUCUCUUCGGAAUAAGCGUUGGAAACGACGUCUAAUGCCGAAUACGACCUCCUUUCGCAUGAUCGGAGGUGGAAAGCUCCGGCGGAGAAGGAUGAGCUCGCGGCCUAUCAGCUAGUUGGUGUGGGUAAUGGCCCACCAAGGCGACGACGGGUAGCCGGCCUGAGAGGGUGACCGGCCACACUGGGACUGAGACACGGCCCAGACUCCUACGGGAGGCAG